UCCCUCCACCCGGACGCGGUCGGGUUUCCACACGCUCUGGGCUGCCUGCGAGCCGAAUAUAGAGCUCCGAGCCACGUGGACUGCUGUCGGCUCGGGCGCGGGGACCGGAUCGCCGCCCCGAGAGGGGCUCUGCGGGGACGUCUCGGCGACACUUCGCGCCGGGGCCGCCGCCUUCAGGUUUUCCUGAGGAAUGCUAAGAGGAAAAAGGCAUAGCUUGGCCUCGGGGUCAGUUAAUUCUUUCAGCUUCCCUUGCCCCAGUCGGAGAGGUCAGCCUUCUGCAGUGGAGUCAGAGAGCUCGUUAGCUCUUCAUCAGAGGAACGUGUAGUGUGUGCUUCAGACCAGGACCAGCUGGACCCGACUUCUUGGUUCAAACCUGCCACUCCCUGGAUGUGUGAAAUCGUUGGGGGAAACACUGACUGAAAGCACCAGCCCUGGCCAGGCAAAGACAGUAACAGUUUGCAUGAGUUAUUCUAUCACAGGAGGUCCUGGUAAGGAUCACAGAACUAACAAGCCACCAACAACCGGUAUCCGGGAAGGGUCUAAAGGAGAUGCCAGUCCACAUGGCCUACCAACCUCCCAGAAUCCUCCUCGCUGGAAUCCAUCUUGGCUGAGCGAUGCCCACGCCACCAGAAAGGACCCUGAAUCAGAAUGAUUGGCCAGAGGCAAUCCGGAAGCUAACCCGAUCACCAUAAAACCUGAGACUGCGAGCCAUGUAGCAGAGCCGUCCUCCUGGGUUCCCUCACCCUCCUGAUCUCCACCCGGGUUCCCCUUCCCAAUAAAGUCUCUUGCUUCGUCA